rnacentral:rRNA from 1 species
GACGAACGCUGGCGGCGUGCUUAACACAUGCAAGUCGAACAGUAAGGCCCUUCGGGGUACACGAGUGGCGAACGGGUGAGUAACACGUGGGUGAUCUGCCCUGCACUUCGGGAUAAGCCUGGGAAACUGGGUCUAAUACCGGAUAGGACCACUGCCUACAUGGGUGGUGGUGGAAAGCUUUUGCGGUGUGGGAUGGGCCCGCGGCCUAUCAGCUUGUUGGUGGGGUGAUGGCCUACCAAGGCGACGACGGGUAGCUGGCCGGAGAGGGUGACCGGCCACACUGGGACUGAGAUACGGCCCAGACUCCUACGGGAGGCAACAGUGGGGAAUAUUACACAAUGGGCGCAAGCCUGAUGCAGCGACGCCGCGUGAGGGAUGACGGCCUUCGGGUUGUAAACCUCUUUCAGCACCGACGAAGCGCAAGUGACGGUAGGUGCAGAAGAAGGACCGGCCAACUACGUGCCAGCCGCCGCAGUAA